AUUGAACGCUGGCGGCAGGCCUAACACAUGCAAGUCGAGCGGAGCGGCGGACGGAUGAGUGAUGCCUAGGAAUCUGCCUGGUAGUUGGGGAUACCGUACGGAAGCGGGCGCUAAUUCCUCAUGCUAUCAGUUGAGCCUAGGUCGGAUUAGCUAGUUGGUGGGGUAAAGGCCUACCAAGGCGACGAUCCGUACCUGGUCUGAGAGGAUGAUCAGUCACACUGGAACUGAGACACGGUCCAGACUCCUACGGGAGGCAGCAGUGGGGAAUAUUGGACAAUGGGCGAAAGCCUGAUCCAGCCAUGCCGCGUGUGUGAAGAAGGUCUUCGGAUUGUAAAGCACUUUAAGUUGGGAGGCGUUACCAACAGAAUAAGCACCGGCUAACUUCGUGCCAGCAGCCGCGGUAAUAC
rnacentral:rRNA from 1 species